UAAUGCCUAGGAAUCUGCCUGGUAGUGGGGGACAACGUUUCGAAAGGAACGCUAAUACCGCAUACGUCCUACGGGAGAAAGCAGGGGACCUUCGGGCCUUGCGCUAUCAGAUGAGCCUAGGUCGGAUUAGCUAGUUGGUGGGGUAAUGGCUCACCAAGGCGACGAUCCGUAACUGGUCUGAGAGGAUGAUCAGUCACACUGGAACUGAGACACGGUCCAGACUCCUACGGGAGGCAGCAGUGGGGAAUAUUGGACAAUGGGCGAAAGCCUGAUCCAGCCAUGCCGCGUGUGUGAAGAAGGUCUUCGGAUUGUAAAGCACUUUAAGUUGGGAGGAAGGGCAGUAAGUUAAUACCUUGCUGUUUUGACGUUACCGACAGAAUAAGCACCGGCUAACUCUGUGCCAGCAGCCGCGGUAAUACAGAGGGUGCAAGCGUUAAUCGGAAUUACUGGGCGUAAAGCGCGCGUAGGUGGUUCGUUAAGUUGGAUGUGAAAGCCCCGGGCUCAACCUGGGAACUGCAUCCAAAACUGGCGAGCUAGAGUACGGUAGAGGGUGG
rnacentral:rRNA from 1 species